UCAAAACAUGGGUACAUUCUUCAAAAUCACAAAAAGAAGAAGAUAUUAGGCUUAAUAACAUUAGUAAAUUUCUUCGAUUAAACUUGACAUGGAUACAUUUUAAAAUCAAAGCAAAAAGAAUGUACCCAUAUAAGUUUAAAACAGAUUAGAAAAAUUGAAUAGAUUUUAUAUAAAAAAAGGUACAUUUUACAUAUAACAAAUUGGUAUAUUUAAGAAUGAGUACAUUUUAAGAUCAAAAUUUUGAAAAAAGUACAUGAAUGGGUACAUAUAAUUAGCAUGGGUACAUUUGGCAAAAUAAAAAAUGGGAACAAAUAAGUUUAAAAAAAAAACAUGGGUACAAAUAAAAUAAAACUUUAAAAAAUAUGGGCACAAAAAGAAAUUAAUAUAUGGGUACAAAUUAAAACUGAAAAGAAAAUUGGUACAAAUUAAAAAAGGGUUGCAAAUUAAAAUGGGUACAAACUAAAACUAAAAAUAUAUGAUAAAAAAUUUAGUCAUAAAUAUAAAUAUACUAAUUGUAACAUUUUAAACAUUAAAUGAAUAUAUUUAGAAAUAAAAAAUAUUUUAUUAUUGAAAUAAUUAAUGAUGUUAUUAAUACCCAAGGACCUUGAUCAAAAAUUAAAAAGGAAUAGGAUUUUAAUCAAUGGAGUAGCAAAAGGAAGGAUGAGAACCUAAUUUCUCAUUUUUUUUCUUUCUAAUUCUUAUUAGUGUUGUAAGCAUAAUUACUGAACAAUUAUGGAGGCCAGAAAGAGAGAGAGGGUGCGGCAUAGAGAGAGAAGAGAGAGAUGUGUAAUUGUGGGUAUGUUCUAUUCCACCUUAUUGUGCUUUUAUUUAUAGUAGUAGGGAAGAUUAAUUCCUUACCCUUUAGGAUUACAACAUUUAAUAGGUAAUCUACUCCUAAUAGGAAUAUAAGAGAUAUUCCAAGAUAUACUAAGAUUUACACAAUCACAUCCUUAAUCUAAUAGGACUGCAAUACUCCCUCUUGAGUGUGUAAAUACUCAAGUAAAUGGCGCAUCAGGUCUUCAGUGAUGAAGU
rnacentral:lncRNA from 1 species